rnacentral:rRNA from 1 species
UGCAGUCGAACGCUUUUUCUUUCACCGGAGCUUGCUCCACCGAAAGAAAAAGAGUGGCGAACGGGUGAGUAACACGUGGGUAACCUGCCCAUCAGAAGGGGAUAACACUUGGAAACAGGUGCUAAUACCGUAUAACAAGUAAAACCGCAUGGUUUUACUUUGAAAGGCGCUUUUGCGUCACUGAUGGAUGGACCCGCGGUGCAUUAGCUAGUUGGUGAGGUAACGGCUCACCAAGGCAACGAUGCAUAGCCGACCUGAGAGGGUGAUCGGCCACAUUGGGACUGAGACACGGCCCAAACUCCUACGGGAGGCAGCAGUAGGGAAUCUUCGGCAAUGGACGAAAGUCUGACCGAGCAACGCCGCGUGAGUGAAGAAGGUUUUCGGAUCGUAAAACUCUGUUGUUAGAGAAGAACAAGGAUGAGAGUAAAAAGUUCAUCCCUUGACGGUAUCUAACCAGAAAGCCACGGCUAACUACGUGCCAGCAGCCGCGGUAAUACGUAGGUGGCAAGCGUUGUCCGGAUUUAUUGGGCGUAAAGCGAGCGCAGGCGGUUUCUUAAGUCUGAUGUGAAAGCCCCCGGCUCAACCGGGGAGGGUCAUUGGAAACUGGGAAACUUGAGUGCAGAAGAGGAGAGUGGAAUUCCAUGUGUAGCGGUGAAAUGCGUAGAUAUAUGGAGGAACACCAGUGGCGAAGGCGGCUCUCUGGUCUGUAACUGACGCUGAGGCUCG